rnacentral:rRNA from 1 species
UACAGAGGGGGCAAGCGUUAUUCGGAAUUAUUGGGCGUAAAGGGCGCGUAGGCGGCUUUGCAAGUGACGGGUGAAAUCCCUCGGCUUAACCGAGGAACUGCCUGUCAAACUGCAUGGCUUGAGACCGGGAGAGGUGAGUGGAAUUCCCAGUGUAGCGGUGAAAUGCGUAGAUAUUGGGAGGAACACCAGUGGCGAAGGCGGGUCUCUGGGCCGAUACUGACGCUGAGGAGCGAAAGCGUGGGGAGCGAACAGG